rnacentral:rRNA from 1 species
UUGACGGGGCCGCACAAGCGGUGGAGCAUGUGGUUUAAUUCGACGCAACGCGAAGAACCUUACCAGGGCUUGACAUCCCCUGACCGCGUAUGAAAGUACGUUUUCACCCUCGGGUGACAGGGAGACAGGUGGUGCAUGGUUGUCGUCAGCUCGUGUCGUGAGAUGUUGGGUUAAGUCCCGCAACGAGCGCAACCCCUACGUUUAGUUGCUAACGCGUGAAGGCGAGCACUCUAGACGAACUGCCGUUGACAAAACGGAGGAAGGUGGGAUGACGUCAAAUCAUCAUGCCCCUUAUGUUCUGGGCUACACACGUGCUACAAUGGCCGGUACAGACGGACGCAAAGCCGCGAGGUGGAGCAAAUCCUAAAAAGCCGGUCUCAGUUCGGAUUGCAGGCUGCAAUUCGCCUGCAUGAAGUCGGAAUCGCUAGUAAUCGCAGGUCAGCAUACUGCGGUGAAUACGUUCCCGGGCCUU